AACCCAUUCCACUUCAGCCAGCCCUCUCUUUCCCCUCAUACAGUGCGUUUUGGGUUCGGGCUUCUUCAUUUCAUUUUCUUCCUUGCGCCGGCACAGUCCCAGAUUCCCACAUCUUUAGUUCUUCUUCAGUUCUUAUUUUCUUCUUAUUCCUCCUAGCUCCUGCUACACCGUCCGCCCAUGCCAUUCUUCUUCUUUUCUUCUUCCUCUUGCCUCCUGCAUCAUCAUGAGCCGUGCCACUUCUUCUUCAAUCUUCAGUUCUUUUGUUGGUUUUCUUCUUAUUUUCUUCUCUUCCACAGCCUGCCGUGCACAAACCCUUGGCCUCACCUCACUCUCGCAGUGGAACAUCCCCUCACUGAGUCACGACUCACGCAUCCCCUCUCUCACGUCCCUCUGUCUUCGAUUCCUCACGCGGACUUGAGUUGAGUGGUGGUGAAAGCAAGGGCCUCAUCAAGGAUGUCUUCUCCGUGCACCCUAAGAUGCAUGGCUUCACACAAGGCUAGUAUGCCCGGAAUGUUGGUGCUCAAGCUUUCCUUGAAGUAUCCUUUUUAUCUUUAAACUUGUUAAACACAUCUACUUCAACAAAUAUGGGAAAAACAAAUAUAUAUAUAUAUAUAUAUAUAUAAUCUAGUUUAAAAGAAGCUAUUACAAGAGUAUAUAACUUAAUGCAAUACUUGCACUUAAAAUAAUAUCAAAUAAAGGAGGCCAGGCACGCGUCUAGCUCAUCACUUAUAGACAAUAAACUAAAUACGUAAUCCAAAGAAGUAUAUAUGCAGGGGCAGAACAAGAUGCAUGCUAGGGGGGCUUUUAAAAAAUGUAAUAUAGUGUAUAAAUAAGUAUAAUUUUUCUUAAACUUUAAAAUUUUUUUACUGAAAUUAGCCCUCCCAAUACUUAAGAUUUCAAAAAUUUUACUGAAAUUAUUCUCCAAAUCUCAAUUUUUACUCUAACUUUUCACAUUACCUACACUCAAAUAUUCUGCGCUGCUUACCAAUACACCUUGAAAAUGAAAAUACUCAAAUUGUAGAACUACUCUCCAAUAUUAGACCUUUCUCCUAUAGCACGGUUGCACCUCUGGGUGAUUAGACUUUCUCCUUUAGCACGUUGCACCUGCAAGAGCUGCACCUCUGCGUGAUUAGACUUUUUCAGAAUUUUAGUACAUGCUACACACCUUUCUCCUUCAACAUACUAGUGUGGCCCAUACGCGAAUAGAGGGAUUUUUUUUUUCAUUGAGGAACUAAGGAAUAGCGAUUUUUCAAGAUAGAAACAGAGGUAGAGAGAAAAGAUUGCCUUGGUAGUUGGUUUCAAAGGAAGAGUGUGUACUGUGUGUGGGUUGUGGCUUUUACGGAGAUAGAGAGAUGAACCACUUGAGGUUAGCUUUCAAAGAUAAAGAGAGUUUUUUUUCAAUAGCCCAGGUGGCAGGUAGGCUCUGACCCUCUAUGUACUAGCAAGUUCUUUAUUUAUUUAUUUAUUAUUAUUAUUAUUAUUAUUAUUAUUAUUAUUAUUAUUUUGUGUUGAUGCAUUAUGCAAUGAUGUUGCCGGUGGAUUUGGUGAAUUGCUUCAUUUUUAUUUUUUAUUUUUUUCAUUUGGAUCUGGUGAAUUGCUUCUAUUGGAUAUGUUGUUGUCAUUUGCUUCUAGUUUUUUUGUUCACUUAGUAAUAAAUACAAACUAUACAAAAAAAUCUAACAACUCUACAUCAUUACUUAUUAGGUACUUCUCAGGUUUAUUUUUGAUCUAUAAAUUUUUUGUAAAGUAUAGAAAAAUAUGAGCAAGCCAAGACCAAUUAAUUCUUUUUUUUUUAAAAGAAAGCCAUGGACAAUUCGGAGAGUAAUAUGCAUUUAGAGAGCUCGACAACAACGGAAUGUGAUACUUCUACCACUGACGAGCGUCCCUCUAAAACUUCAAGAAUCCAACCUGAAAAGAUGGAUGCUACAUCUUUGGAACGUAAUCCAAGAUUAUGGCUACAAAUAUGGAAAUUUCCUUCUAACCUACAAGACAAGAUCCGACGUGCCUAUCUUAAAGUUGGUCCAUAUCAAACUAAACUUUCAAAAUAUCCAUUUUCAAGAGUAGGCAAUCAACGUCGUUAAUUUCAAUUUUCUUGGUUUCAAUGAUAUUCAAAUUGGUUAGAGUACUCGCCAUCGAAGAUUGCUAUAUUUUGUCUUCCAUGCUACAUUUUUACUAAGAAAUCAACAAGCCGUCCAGGAUCAGAUGCAUUUACCAAUAAAGGUUUUGACAAUUGAAAAAAAGUGAAUGAUAGAAUGAAUUGUCCUUUAAUAGGACAUGUGGGGAGAGAUCUGAAUUCGUUACAUAAAAAUGCUGUAAAAUGCUGUGAGAAUUUAAUGAAUCAGUCAAGACAUAUUGAUAAGUUA